AGAGUUUGAUCCUGGCUCAGGAUGAACGCUAGCGGCAGGCCUAAUACAUGCAAGUCGGACGGGAUUGGAGAGCUUGCUUUCCAUGAGAGUGGCGCACGGGUGCGUAACACGUAUGUAACCUACCUUAGUCAGGGGGAUAGCCUCUCGAAAGAGAGAUUAAGACCGCAUAACAUAAUGAUAUGGCAUCAUAUUAUUAUCAA
rnacentral:rRNA from 1 species